UCCUCAGUAGCUCAGUGGUAGAGCUAUCGGCUGUUAACCGAUCGGUCGUAGGUUCGAGUCCUACCUGCGGAG
rnacentral:tRNA from 1 species